UCUGACAGAUGUGAGAACAGGAGGGCCUCGGAGGUGCCUACACGCCGAGACCAGGUAAGGACCGAGACCAGCCUCCUCUUCCCUCCGGUGAGGCAUGGACAAUCAGACUUCUGGGCCAGGCCCACUGUGCCCCACCGCCUACUGGAGCCGUCCUUCACCGUGCCUCUAGCUGGAUGUAAUCAGGAACUCAGCGUGCACCACCUCACAUCUGGCUGUUUCUGCCUUUGUGAUGUCCGAGAGGUUCGUUCCUGUGGGUAUGCAUGGCUCCAGCUGCUCAUUUUCUUGGCCAUACAGAAUUCUUGUUAUAUACAUAUUUUAUGAUUCAUAAACGCUACUGUUGGUGAACA
rnacentral:antisense_RNA from 1 species